rnacentral:ncRNA from 2 species
CGCACGCUGCAACGGCUUCCUGACGUGGCGUGAAAUUUUCAGUGGAGCA